rnacentral:rRNA from 1 species
UACGUAGGGCGCAAGCGUUGUCCGGAAUUAUUGGGCGUAAAGAGCUCGUAGGCGGUUUGUCGCGUCUGCUGUGAAAGCCCGGGGCUCACCCGGGUCUGCAGUGGGUACGGGCAGACUAGAGUGCAGUAGGGGAGACUGGAAUUCCUGGUGUAGCGGUGAAAUGCGCAGAUAUCAGGAGGAACACCGAUGGCGAAGGCAGGUCUCUGGGCUGUUAUCUGCGCUGAGGAGCGAAAAGCAUGGGGAGCGAACAGGAUUAGAUACCCGGUGUAGUCC